rnacentral:ncRNA from 2 species
GGUCAUGAGUGUCAGCAACAAGCCCCGGCUCGCUGACCGGCAACCCUCCAACCGCGGUGGGGUGCUCCGGGUGAUGACCUGGUUGCGGUUCGCCGCAGCAAGCGCGGGUC